AAAAUAUUAAUACAAAUAAAACAUUUUUCAAGAAAUUGAAUCUCAAACUUUAUUUAAAUUAAAUAACUAAUCAAUUGAGUUAAGUAACCCCUUGAAUUUGUACGUGCAUGGACUUCCAUGUUUCCACGGUCCUUGGAUACGUCACUAAAUGACAGGCGUCAGACCUAACAAGGACGCGGAAAAAGCUCUGGUAAGACAGUACUAAAGUACCGCUACGACCCUUCACUACCACCACCGUCGGCAGAGACAAGACGGAAGGUUAUCGGUUACGAAAUAUUUUGAGGAUUCGAUAGUUGGCUGGUCGGGUGAUCAAUUUCUACUUUAUUCACUUUUUAUUGAUGGAUAGUUUCCCGGAGGUACUGAUGUGGUAAUGCAGCUCAAGAGACUUCCUGUUGAAUCACGAGCCUUCGUAAGGUGUACGAAAUUGAACAUGAGAAAAUAAGCUCAUCGUGUGGGGGUUCGAGGUGAAGGACAAUACAUGGUGGAGGACGACGGCUGAGUUCCAAGAUCUUCGCUGCUGGCUGCCUAACUCGGGUUGGAGUUUCGCUAAAAGGGGUGGAACCUUGGAGUGAAGAGAGGUCAAGAGCUAUCGUCUUGGAACUAGCAGGACACUUUCGUCAAUGUAGACUGGGGAUUAAUUACUUAAUUUCAUGAAGCUAUACCCUUCAAUAACUUCAGUCUUGAAUCAAGUUUUAUAUUAAAGUAUUUAAUUUU